rnacentral:lncRNA from 1 species
UUUCAACCAACUCAAUAUUUAUUAAUAUUUAUUUAAUUCUCAUAUGUAUUCUUUAUAAUUUAAUAUAAAUUAAUUAUUUAAUACAUAUUUAUAAUAAAAUUAGUAAAUCCUACAAUACAAAAACAUAAAAUAAAUUUAAGAAAUCAAAAUAUAACAAAUUAACAACAAUUAAAUGAAAAUAAAAUAAAAAUAUAUUCAAGCAAAGCAUUAUAAUAAUAAAGAAUGAAAAAAGAAAAAAAAUAGAAGCAUACAAUAAAUAAGAAAAGAAUGAAAAUUAGAUUUAAUGCAAACAUAGGAAAUAGAAACAAACGAAAGAAAGCAGAAAAAAAUGGAAUAAAAAGAAAGAAAAGAAAAGUAAAAGAAUAGAUCAUGCCCAUAGGGAAGGCGAGAGAGGGAGGUUUGGGGGAAGGAAGGAGAGAGAGGGUGAGGGCAGCGCCCUUCGCCGGAGCAUGAGGCGGUGGCGACUUCGCCGGCGGUGGGUGGCUGCGUAGCAGAGGGUGAGAAGGGAGAGAGAGAAGGGUGUGAGAGAGGAGGGACCGAUGCAAGAGAGAGAGAGAGCGAGAGAUGUUUAAUUUGUUUUUUGUUUUGUUUUGUUUUUUUUUUUUCUCUUUUAAGAAUUUUCAAAAUUUGACUUUUAUGUUUGGCCACUAUCUAUUUAAUUUUGUUUGGGCUCUCGUUUAAUAAGUGGGCAGCAUUUUAAUAAAGAUUGGGCCGAUUUAUUUUAACGUCUUUAUUUGUUGGGUUUGUCCAUUUAAUUUAUUAAUUGAACCAAUGACUAGUUAAUUUGGAUUGUA